rnacentral:rRNA from 1 species
ACUCAAAGGAAUUGACGGGGGCCCGCACAAGCGGUGGAGCAUGUGGUUUAAUUCGACGCAACGCGAAGAACCUUACCUGGGCUUGAACUGUGGUGGACCGCGGCAGAGAUGUCGUUUUUCGCAAGAACCGCCAUAGAGGUGCUGCAUGGCUGUCGUCAGCUCGUGUCGUGAGAUGUUGGGUUAAGUCCCGCAACGAGCGCAACCCUUACCCUUAGUUGCCAGCGAGUCAAGUCGGGAACUCUAAGGGGACCGCCCGGGUUAACCGGGAGGAAGGUGGGGAUGAUGUCAAGUCCUCAUGGCCCUUAUGUCCAGGGCUACACACGUGCUACAAUGGGCGAUACAAACCGUCGCGAUCUCGCAAGAAGGAGCUAAUCGGAGAAAGUCGCCCUCAGUUCGGAUUGCGGUCUGCAACUCGACCGCAUGAAGGUGGAAUCGCUAGUAAUCGUGUAUCAGAAUGAUACGGUGAAUACGUUCCCGGGCCUUGUACACACCGCCCGUCACAUCACGAAAGCCGGGAGCACUUGAAGAGGCUGAGGUAACCGCA